CGGCGCUGUGGCGCCGGUUCGUUGCGGAGGAUGCCGGCCGAGCGAUCAGCCGGCAUUCUCCGUUUCUG
rnacentral:sRNA from 1 species